CAAGCACCUCUAAAACCUGAACUUUAAAAUAUGGAAUUACAACAAAGCACAGUAAAUCAAGUCCAACCAUUGUUUGGUCCUGUUUCAGUGGAUAGCUAGCUAAAUGUUAAGGAUUUUUGUGAAAAUUUAAACCUCAGGCAAUGAUUCCCAAACUUUUUCAUGCCACAUGCUAAUUUUACGUCCCACCAGCAGGUGAGCAGAGGCAGGGAAGGCUGACUGGCCUACACAGACCUCGUGUGGCCCUCUCCCAGAGCAGAGGGGAGCAGUGUGGGGGCAUCACUGUAACUCAUUUGGGGCACACGGGCGGAACGCUUGGACUUACUCAUUGACUUAGGAAAAGUUUUCCCUAAAGGUUGAAAGGGUCAGGUUUAUCCUGAUGCAAAAUGUAAACCAGUGACUCCAAAUGAACGAUCUCCUUGCACACAGUGAGCUGGCAGCAGUGAAAGGAAAAAACCUUAUCUGUGAGGCUCAAGUGGUCGUAAUUCAUGACUUGGCUCCUUGCGAUGCUCAGUUCCUGUUGCUUGCACGGCUUGUUCCCUUCCUGAUCACCUGCCCUGUUUCUGGCAGAGAUGGGUGACCUCGGCAGGCAUGCGUGCAAGUGUGUGUGUAUGUGUCUGUACACAUGUGUGUGUAAGGAGGGAAGAAAAGGUAGGUGACCCUUCUCAGCAGCUCUGAAAUUAUGCCACCCAGAUGGCUAGCCGCUUAGCCUUCUUGUCUGGUUGCUUUGACUCCUGCUCACAUCCACCUUCCAUUCUAAAGACAGACGGAGUACUAACUCUGGAAGCUUCUACAUUUGUUCAAGAUGUACGAGAAGGGGAUCGUUUAUUCAGUCUGGACAAUGAGUCUAGAAUUCUCUUUCAUCAUCUGUGAUUCGCUGGAAGCCAAGUUCCACAGAUCUGUUUGCUGCUCUAUCCAGUCUUUUCCAAUUAUCAAAUAAGUCACCUCCUCCAUGGUAUCUUGUCCUCCCAAGGGAAGCACGGGUUACUGGGAAAAGGGGCUUGUCAUGGUUGCCAUCUGUUAGGGGCUGAAUUGUGCCCCCACCACCCCCUUUGCACACUGAAGCCCUAACCCCCAGGACCUCAGAGUGUGAAUGUAUAUGGAGUUAGAGUCUUUCGAGAGGUGAUUAAGUUAACAUGAGGCCACAUGGGUGGGCCCUAAAUCCAAUCUGACUGUGCCCUUGUAAGAAGAGGUCAAGACACAGACAUGCACAGAGAGAAGACCGUAUGCAGACACGGGGGAAGGUGGCCGUCUACAAGCCAGUGAGGGAGACCGCCGAAGAAACUAAGCCUGUCCACACCUUGAUCUCGGACUUGCCAACCCCUGGAAUCAUAAGAAAAUAAAUGUCUGUCAUUUCAGCCACCCCAGCCUGGGGUCCUUUGUCAUGGCAGCCUGAGAAGACUCACCCAUACCCCAUCUGAUCUGCUCCCUCCGGCCGUCUUUGUCUGGGAGAGCCAGGGCUGUAGGCUUCUUGGGUUUUCCUACGUGCUCGCUCAUCCCCACAUCUGAUUUAUGAGCCUUGUCUUCUUUGGUGCUUAUAGCAGCUACUCCUUGGAAUUCUUUGCUGUUUGGAUAAGCACAGCCUGCCCAUUCCCCUACAUGCUAAAUAAAAAUGUGGUGGUUGACAAGCAGUCCCUGGCACCCCCUUCCUCUCAACCCCUGCUCGGACCUUC